CGUUUNAUAGNGGAUCUGCUCCAUGUUCAUAAAUAGCCGCAGAAUUUUUACUGUGCUAAGGUAGCAUAAUCAUUAGUCUUUUAAUUAAAGGCUAGAAUGAAUGAUCUAACGAUUUAAUUAUUUUUUUCCCCUCUUUUAUUAAAAUUAUACUAAAUAUAAAAAUAUAUUUAUAAUAAAAUUAGACGACAAGACCCUAUUGAACUUAACUAAAGUUAGGCUGGGGAAGCAAUUUAAUAAUCACUUUAAUUCCAAUUCCUCCAUAAACGACCCAAUAAUAUUGAUAACUUGAUCAAGUUACCAUAGGGAUAACAGCGUAAUAUUUUUAACAAGCUCACAUUUAUAAAAAAGAUUGCGACCUCGAUGUUGAAUUACUAUUACUCAUAGGCGCAAGCACUUAUGAAGUAGGUCUGUUCGACCUUUAAAUUAGCACAUGAUCUGAGUCAAAACCCGGAGA
rnacentral:rRNA from 1 species